rnacentral:rRNA from 1 species
GAUGAACGCUGGCGGCGUGCUUAACACAUGCAAGUCGAACGGUGAACACGGAGCUUGCUCUGUGGGAUCAGUGGCGAACGGGUGAGUAACACGUGAGCAACCUGCCCCUGACUCUGGGAUAAGCGCUGGAAACGGCGUCUAAUACUGGAUACGAACCACGAAGGCAUCUUCAGUGGUUGGAAAGAAUUUCGGUUGGGGAUGGGCUCGCGGCCUAUCAGCUUGUUGGUGAGGUAAUGGCUCACCAAGGCGUCGACGGGUAGCCGGCCUGAGAGGGUGACCGGCCACACUGGGACUGAGACACGGCCCAGACUCCUACGGGAGGCAGCAGUGGGGAAUAUUGCACAAUGGGCGAAAGCCUGAUGCAGCAACGCCGCGUGAGGGAUGACGGCCUUCGGGUUGUAAACCUCUUUUAGCAGGGAAGAAGCGAAAGUGACGGUACCUGCAGAAAAAGCGCCGGCUAACUACGUGCCAGCCGCCGCCGUAAUAC